rnacentral:lncRNA from 1 species
CAUACAUUUCAUGGGAUCACACAAGCAGCGCUGGUUCUCAGCCAUACCAGUGAGAAGGAGGAUGUGGAGGGGCUUUCACACAACCUGGCUUCUGACCUCCCCAUCAUUACCAGGGUCAGGGGGCUGCAGGGGGGCCACGGCCUGCCAUGGGGGCUGUUCUCUCCCAGGCCGUUUCAGACCGACCCAGGCUGCCAUGCAUCAAAAGGCCAUUUAGUCAGGCCAAAUGUCAAACACUAGCAUGUUUUGAUCGUAGAGUCGUUAUCAAAUUAGGCAAUGAGUGAGAACGGGUGGGAGAGUGGGAGUGUGUGUGUGUGUGUGUGUGGUGUCUGAGAGUAUUGGUAAUAGUACUGGUAACAUCAGCAAUUUUUCUGGAAAUGUAAUUAUAGCUGUGUAGUAAAAAUAACACAAUGAAGGUAUUCAAAGAUGCAACUCAUUCUAAAUUCUAAAAUGUAUUCCAAAUACGCUUUUGCCUCAAAUGACUUCACCACCAAUACAUCAGAUUGGAUUGCCUUUCAACUAUCAACAUGUCAGUCAAAGUGCUAAAAUGAACACGGACAAUCCAGUCUUUUGCUCAUUGCCCUAGCCCGCAAACAUACAGAUCAAUCAAUCAAAUGUAUUUAUAAAGCACUUCUUACAUCAGCUGAUGUCACAAAGUGCUGUACGGAAACCCAGCCUAAAACCCCAAACAAGCAAUGCAGGUGUAGAAGCACGGUGGCUAGGAAAAACUCCCUAGAAAGGCCAGAACCUAGGAAGAAACCUAGAGAGGAACCAGGCUAUGAGGGGUGGCCAGUCCUCUUCUAGCUGUGCAGGGUGGAGAUAAUAACAGAACAUGGCCAAUUUGUUAAAAUGUUCAUAGAUAACCAGAAGGGUCAAAUAAUAAAAGUCACAGUGGUUGUUGAGGGUGUAACAGGUCAGCACCUCAGGAGUAAAUGUCAGUUGGCUUCUCAUAGCCGAUCAUUCAGAGUAUCUCUACCGCUCCUGCUGUCUCUAGAGAGUUGAAAACAGCAGGUCUGGGACAUGGUAGAACGUCCGGUGAACAGGUCAGGGUUCCAUAGCCGCAGGCAGAACAGUUCAAACUGGAGCAGCAGCACGACCAGGUGGACUGGGGACAGCAAGGAGUCAUCAGGCCAGGUAGUCCUGAGACAUGGUCCUAGGGCCCAGGUCCUCCAAGAGAGAGAAAGAGAGAAAGAAAGAGAGAAAAAGAGAGAAUUAGAGAGAGCAUACUUAAAUCUACACAGGACACCGGAUAAGACAGGAGAAAUACUCCAGAUAUAACAGACUGACCUUAGCCCCCCGACACAUAAACUACUGCAGCAUAAAUACUGAAGGCUGAGACAGGAGGGGUCGGGAGACACUGUGGCCCUAUCCAGAUCAGUCUUUUGUUCAUUGCCCUAGCCAUCAAACAUACAGAUCAAUCUUUUGCUAAUUGCCCUAUCCCUUAAACAUACAGAUCAGUCUUUUGCUCAUUGCCCUAGCCAUCAAACAUACAGAUCAGUAUUUAGCUCAUUGCCCUAGUCCUCAAACAUACAGAUCAGUCUUUUGCUCAUUGCCCUAGCCCUCAAUCAUACAGAUCAGUCUUUUGCUCAUUGCCCUAGCCCUCAAACAUACAGAUCAGUCUUUUGCUCAUUGCCCUAGCCCUCAAUCAUACAGAUCAGUUUUUUCCUCAAUGCCCUAGCCCUCAAACAUACAGAUCAUUUUUUCCUCAAUGCCCUAGCCCUCAAACAUACAGAUCAGUUUUUCCUCAAUGCCCUUGCCCUCAAACAUAUAGAUCAGUCUUUUGUUGAUGAGAAUUUAAAGUGGAAAAGCAAACUUUUAGCUUAUUCAAGGUUUAAAAAGGAUUCUAAUUUCCACUUUAACAUGUCAGACUUAAUUUGCCCUAAAAACAAUGUGUAAACCCCUACAAAAAAUGGCCAUUAAUUAUAAUCCACAUAAUAGAUGGGUCAGCUGACAACGUCACAAAAACCAUGUGCGCGCUUCCAUGGAGCGUGUUGUGAUUCUGGAUGGCCAGAUUGCUAGCAAGAAUGACACUGCCAUGUGGGGAAUCAUAAGUGGUUUGUUUCAGCAUGUUUCAUCAAGUUAUUGAUACCAUGUCUUGAUUUGAGAUGUUUUGACUGAUUUCAUGUCAAUGCAAAUAUGGCUAAAAUUCGAUGGCUAGCUAACCAACAACUGUAACGAUGUAUUUGAGAGACAACAAGUGCUCAUUCUGCAAAUGUAUUUAUGUUUUCAAUAAACAGUGGAGAAGAAAUAUAGCUUACAUGUUAUCAAAAGUCUAAGCCAACCCUGUCUGUUUUUCCACAUUGUUGAGCAC